UGAGAGGGUGACCGGCCACACUGGGACUGAGAUACGGGCCAGACUCCUACGGGAGGUAGCAGUGGGGAAUAUUGCACAAUGGGCGCAAGCCUGAUGCAGCGACGCCGCGUGAGGGAUGACGGCCUUCGGGUUGUAAACCUCUUUCAAUAGGGACGAAGCGCAAGUGACGGUACCUAUAGAAGAAGGACCGGCCAACUACGUGCCAGCAGCCGCGGUAAUACGUAGGGUCCGAGCGUUGUCCGGAAUUACUGGGCGUAAAGAGCUCGUAGGUGGUUUGUCACGUUGUUCGUGAAAACUCACAGCUUAACUGUGGGCGUGCGGGCGAUACGGGCAGACUAGAGUACUGCAGGGGAGACUGGAAUUCCUGGUGUAGCGGUGGAAUGCGCAGAUAUCAGGAGGAACACCGGUGGCGAAGGCGGGUCUCUGGGCAGUAACUGACGCUGAGGAGCGAAAGCGUGGGGAGCGAACAGGAUUAGAUACCCUGGUAGUCCACGCCGUAAACGGUGGGUACUAGGUGUGGGUUUCCUUCCUUGGGAUCCGUGCCGUAGCUAACGCAUUAAGUACCCCGCCUGGGGAGUACGGCCGCAAGGCUAAAACUCAAAGAAAUUGACGGGGGCCCGCACAAGCGGCGGAGCAUGUGGAUUAAUUCGAUGCAACGCGAAGAACCUUACCUGGGUUUGACAUGCACAGGACGCCAGUAGAGAUAUUGGUUCCCUUGUGGCCUGUGUGCAGGUGGUGCAUGGCUGUCGUCAGCUCGUGUCGUGAGAUGUUGGGUUAAGUCCCGCAACGAGCGCAACCCUUGUCUCAUGUUGCCAGCACGUAAUGGUGGGGACUCGUGAGAGACUGCCGGGGUCAACUCGGAGGAAGGUGGGGAUGACGUCAAGUCAUCAUGCCCCUUAUGUCCAGGGCUUCACACAUGCUACAAUGGCCGGUACAAAGGGCUGCGAUGCCGUGAGGUGGAGCGAAUCCUUUCAAAGCCGGUCUCAGUUCGGAUCGGGGUCUGCAACUCGACCCCGUGAAGUCGGAGUCGCUAGUAAUCGCAGAUCAGCAACGCUGCGGUGAAUACGUUCCCGGGCCUUGUACACACCUCCCGUCACGUCA
rnacentral:rRNA from 1 species